GCUGAAGAUGAUCUGAUGUGAAGGGGGCUUUAUUUCCCUCCUCAAGGAUCAGUUCCUCUGGCUACUUGCACCUGCUGAGUGGAAGGACAUAGAAGCAUGAUUUGAUUUUUAGAAUUAUCAUCCAGAAAGGAGAGUGGGAUUUGAAAGUUUUUCCCCUGUAGAGGAAGGCUCAGAUUUACAACUUUAUCCGUCAGCAAAGGCUGGGGCCAGCGAGGUUCAGUACUUUCAGCCUGCUGUCUCUCCACGUUUCUCUGACUUCUUCAUGAACAUCGUCCAGCAGAUACACUCUCUCAGAGGUAUCAACAUAAUACUACCUAGUAGGAUGAAAACAACAACAUUCCAACUUCUCCAGGAUUUGUUACAACCAAAAUAUAAAGAACAGCUUUUCUGAAGCUGCUAUUCAUCACACAAGAAUCUAUUGCUCUAGUCAAAUGCCUGAUAUUCCUAUAGCUGUGGGUAUUAUAAAUAAUCUCAAAGGGAAACAUGCCAAAGAUUUUCCACUAAAUAGACUGCCUGAAACACCAUGAUCUUUCAAAGAGAAAAAAUCCAGUAAUCAGCUGAGUUUUGGAUAGAAUACAGAAUUGAGAAAAAGAAAACACAACUAUUGUAGAUCAAUUUUCUCAUUUGAUUUUGGUUUUUUAAAGUGACCUCUUUUUUUAGGGGAUCAUUUAAUGAAACUUUCAGAUGUUUUACAGCACUGUUUGUGACAUAUAAAGAGACAACUUUCCAAAACUCUAUCUAUGUUUCACUCAACAUCGUAAAUCUAUUUCAUUAAGAGCAUUGAAAUUCAAGCAGUUACCAGCAAUGUGCAUCCAAAUGUUAGUUUCAUGUUUUUAAUUGUCAUUAUUGGUCCUUCUUUCAAAGCACACCAAAGUUCAGCCUACUAGAGCAGGAUCAGUAUCCAGUAGACUAGCAGUAAUGUGGACUUUCAACUUCUCUUAAUGGCAAGGUAAAAAUAAAACAAGAUACUGUCUAAAUAAUGUGUCUGGCAACCACAAGCAUAACAAAAGGGGCCAAAGACAAAGUACAAGUAACUUCACUGAAAUGCCAUGUUUGUCUAUGGGGGAUGACUACUGGAGAGAAAUAAAUGACUAGCUGAGAAAUUAACUUUUCUAAAAGAAACUUUAAGGUUUGGAAAAUUUAUCUUUUUUGGCUUAUUGCUAAAUCAAGAAUUUGUUAGAGACAUAAUUGAAUUUUUUUCUAGGCUAGUCGUUAAAUCGGAAAUAUUUCAAUACACCUUUAUUUUCUUUUCCAAAAUUUCAUAGACACAACAUAUAUAGAAAAAAUGAUGUUUCAGUUCAAAUAAUAAAAAGGUCAUUAAAUCCAUGCUACCUGCUAGUGUAGUGCAUUAAGCUUUGAUUGGUGUUCUUAAUCAUGCCCUGUAGAAAAAUAGAAAUAUAUAAAUCUAAUUAUCAACAGUUGAAAUGUGUCCUAUAGAGAUAUAUCUGCCUUGCAUUACAAAAGCUUCUUUUGGCAUACCAUGUGUAAUGGAGACAAUUAUUCUGUGGUAAAUAUUGGCAUUUCAGCUGAUCACUAAACCCACGAUGUUAAUAAAGUUUAAAUCCUCUACCUUUUUUAUAUCAUGAAACAAAACUGAAGGGAAUUUCCAUAUGGAGGGUGCCUGUGAGACGUGAGACAUGGAUUUUUCUCUGUAACACCUUGUAGGAAGCAGUCCUGGACCAGAUUGUGGUUGAGGCUCAUUAAUAUUCUCUGCAGCUGAAGAGCAAGGGCUGCUGGCAUUUUAGCAGAAAUCAUGUCAGCCACUUGACACUGUUCUGGCCUUGAGAUGCAUAAAUCGGUUACUGCUGUCUUAUUUCCAUAGCAAGUGAGCAGAUGUAGGAUGGGAUGGUUGGGGUAUGCUUUCACUUGCUUUCAGCUGCCAGGCCUGAUAGCUCCAGGAAUUUCUGUUGUCUAGCUACCUUUUCUUAUUCUGGCACUUCCCUUGCAGUUAUGUCGGUAAUUGUGUAAACAGAUUGGAAAAAGCAAGUUGUUACCCUGCAUCUGUUUACUGAUCUCCUUAAUUCCCCAGUUCUUAGAAUAUCUGUAAGAUACGAAUGCAAUACACUGUAGAAGUUCUUGUAAUUGUGAAAUGUCUGGAACCAAGAUACCAAGCUGCAGUUUUAAAACAUCUGUUUAAAGUUCCAAAAUGUGCUUUGGACAAUGGAGAGAGAGCUGUUUUUCUGAAAAAGAUGAGAUCUUUGCUUUAAUGAAGAAAGAUUUUCAGGAUACCUCCAAAUCCUAAAGCGCUUCUUUUUUGUUCAAU